rnacentral:tRNA from 1 species
UGUGAUGCAGCUCAAUGUUAGAGCACUUGCCUAGCAUGCAUGAGGCUCUGGGGUCAAUCUCCAGCACCACAA